rnacentral:rRNA from 1 species
AGAGUUUGAUCCUGGCUCAGGAUUAACGCUAGCGGCAGGCCUAAUACAUGCAAGUCGAGGGGCAGCAGGGUGUAGCAAUACAUCGCUGGCGACCGGCGCACGGGUGCGUAACACGUAUGCAACCUACCUUUAACUGGGGAAUAGCCCUCCGAAAGGAGGAUUAACACCGCAUAACAUCACGAGACGGCAUCGCCUUGUGAUCAAACCUCCGGGGGUUAAAGAUGGGCAUGCGUCCGAUUAGCUAGUUGGCGGGGUAACGGCCCACCAAGGCGACGAUCGGUAGGGGGUCUGAGAGGAUGAUCCCCCACACUGGUACUGAGACACGGACCAGACUCCUACGGGAGGCAGCAGUAAGGAAUAUUGGACAAUGGUCGCAAGACUGAUCCAGCCAUGCCGCGUGAAGGAAGAAGGCGCUCUGCGUUGUAAACUUCUUUUGGACAGGGACAAACCACUCGAUGCGUCGGGUGCUGAGGGUACUGUCAGAAUAAGCACCGGCUAACUCCGUGCCAGCAGCCGCGGUAAUACGGAGGGUGCAAGCGUUAUCCGGAUUCACUGGGUUUAAAGGGUGCGUAGGCGGGCAUGUAAGUCAGCGGUGAAAUCCCCGAGCUUAACUUGGGAACUGCCGUUGAUACUAUAUGUCUUGAAUGUCGUGGAGGUUAGCGGAAUAUGUCAUGUAGCGGUGAAAUGCUUAGAUAUGACAUAGAACACCCAUUGCGAAGGCAGCUAACUACGCGAAUAUUGACGCUGAGGCACGAAAGCGUGGGGAUCAAACAGGAUUAGAUACCCUGGUAGUCCACGCCCUAAACGAUGAUUACUCGAUG